AAGUCUCUUCUGCUCACCAAGCCUGCAUUUAUUUGAUCCAAAGUACAACAGAAACAGUAAAAUUUUGCAAUAUGUUUGCUAUUUAAAAUAACUGCUUUCUAUUUGAAUAUAUUUUAAAAUGUAACAUUUAAAAAUCUUACUGUUCAAAAACUUUUAACUGGGAGUGUUUUUCAUCCUAUUUUAAGUUACAAUUUUACUAUUUCUAAUUCUUAAAAUUAAACAGGCUGUUUUGGCUAUUAUAAGUUUGUAUGUAAAUGAGGUCUGCUAUGAUCAGCUGACUGCUUCACAACCACUUCCAAGGUGCUGAAAACUAAAUUGAUAUGUAAAUGUGGACAGGUCAUAUGUAAGCUCAUAGUUGUGAUCUGGAAAUUUCUUUCUGUGAAUAAUGAUUCAAAUUUUGGUCUGUUUUUUUUUACAGAGCUACUAAAUGCCUUCAGAAACUGCAUAGACUACUUAUGUAACUUUUAUAGUGUUUUUGGCCAUUUUGGUCAUUUUAGUUUCAAUACAGCUUAUGUAAAAAGAUCGGCAGAAAGUUUAGUAAUGAUGAGCCCAGUGUUUUGCUGUUACACAGCUUUAGUGUGUUGGUCUGAAUCGGGGGAGAUGCAUCUGAGGGAUCCCCGGAGCCAAAUCCAAACAUCUGUCUGUUUCACCUCUGCGUCGCUUGAAAUGUGUUGGAAUGUGGAAUCUGAUCAAACUUGCUGCGAGCGUGGAAGAGACAGAAAGUUCAUACACGAUAAGAACUUGCCCCAGAGCAAGGCCACACUCCCCCUUUCACUCAAGCAGCUGUUUCACAGACCUUCAAUGCACUGCGCGCAAGAACCUGCGUGAGGGAUGCCAGUCAGAUAUUUCUCAUCCAGAGUUUCAGAAGAGACCUCAGCAAUGUUUCAGACUGCGUUUGAGUUCAGAUUUGUGCUUAGAUUUCAACAUGAGGUCAAACAUUUCUCAUCAAAUUCUCGCAAGCAGAAACAUCUGUUGACACAGUGAAACACGACUGAGAACCACCAAUACGUGCAAAACAUGCAUUCUGCUAAUGUGCUGAAACUCUCUGUGCUCCUUCCACAAGCUUGGAACAGAGGCGGAUAUCUAACACAAAAGAAGAUAUUCUGAUGAACACAGAGGUCCAAACAACAUUGGACGACACUGGCUUUCAUUUAUAAGGUCGAACGGGUUUGGAAAAACAUGAGGGAGGCCUCCCAAAUUGAGACAAGCGAGGGCCAUUUCCUGAAGGAGGGCUGUGGAAUGCUGAACAGGGGAGUCGUGCAUAUCUUCAUCUAGAAGAGAGUUUAGAUCUCUGAGUCAUCAAAACGCAGCGCCAGCAUUGUGAUUGAACUGCACAAAAACAGGAUUCUGGGUAAAAAAAAAAGAAACACCACACAAGCACAAAAGCCAACUUAUGAAUCACACACAUUAAUCUGCAAAUUUAUGACUCACUGGCUUUUUUGAGAAGCAAAAACUUGUCACAGUGCUAACGGAAGAGAAAACCUGAGUGAAGUUUUAUGGAACAGAGCUGUUUUAAAAACUAAA